UCUCAAUCUUUCAAGUCUUUAUUUGUUGCAGUAGUUUUGUUGAUCAUGGUUUACAGAAAACAAAAACCCAGAAUCAGAAAACUGAAAAAGUGUAACUGGACUUUUCUUGUGUUUUCCAGUACAUGUUUAAAUCUUCAACAUUCUUUUUAAAUCUUUCCAAUGACAGUCAAAUGCAUGUCUCAAUUAACCCAGAAACAAGUCUGUCAAUGAUAAGAAAAUAAAAGCACACAGAAAAAUAAAUCCCUAAAAAUGUAAUCACUAAACCAAACAACAAAAAUCCUUUCAACAUGUUCGACUGAUCAGUUGCAAUUACAAUUGCUUGCUCUGAAUUAAAGAACAUUUUUCUAUUUUUACAGUUUAAAGAAAAAUUUUGCCUUUAAUGUUUUUUUUUAAUUGAAGACUUAAUUUAAAAAGCUUUAGGAUUACAAAAAAUAUAUUUUUACAUUAUUUUCUAUAAAAAACAUUUUACUUCAUCUUCAUGAUAUAUAUUCUGUAAAAUGUAGUUAUUAUUUUUGCAAUUUUUGUCACUUUUUUGUCAAGUCUGAAAGUUUUUCUUUGAUGAACUGAUGAGAAAAAUGAUCAGAUCCUAAAUGUUUCACAAAUAUUAACUACCUGCUGUGCACAAUCUUUUUUGAAACAUUUACUAUUUUUACAGCAUUAAUAAAAUAGUGCAAUAACAACAAAAUUCACAGAAAUUCAAACGUCAGUGCUGUUGAACGUAACUCAACCCCACACAAACCCACAGAAAAGCACACUGAUAAAUGCAAGCAAAAACGUUCAGGUCCCACAUUUAUACCUUAAAAUACAACAACAUUAAAAAAUUAAAAUAUUUAAUCCAAAUAAGCCAAGAUUGAAUGCAUUUUAACUCAUUUAAUAAUUAAUUUUUACCUUUUGUAGAAAGUUUGUCAAAGCCAGAAAACAUUCCAUUGAUAAAAUCCACAUAGAAUAAUUUUUAAACUUUACAAAAAUUUACCUGGUAAAAAAUGUUUCAUCAAGUAAAAAAAAAUUGUAUAUAUCUGGCUCCAGCUCUGGCCUCUGUGACCCUUCCUCUCUCAUAGCUCCUCGUGAUGCUCUCGGCCGCCAUGUUUGUUCAGCCACGCCUGCAGCAGAGGGAGGUUCUUGUCCAUCCAGCGGAUGUUGUCUUCUAUGGUCUCGUAGCUCUGCUGGAUGCACCUCAUCUUUGAACCCGCCUCUUCUGUCAGGGAGUCGAAGAAGCUUUGGAUCUAAAGGCGAGAGCAAAAUGAUAAACAGGAACACACUCGUACACAGAAACUACAGAAUUUGCUCAAAAUGACCUUUUCAUGGUGGGGGCAAAAGUGGGCUGAAAUGAUCUCUCACCUCAAGAAGCUUCUCUCUGGUGGAGUACUGGUUGGUAACUCCCGCUACCAAGUAGGACAGAGUGCUCGACCCCAGGUCAAACCUGUAUUUUGAACACAGAAUGUUACUGAUCUGAGCACCAAACUUCACCUUUUUGAAGAAAACAGCAGCAAUGAAGAGUUUGUUGAGUUUAGCCCAUCCAUCAAUUAUCCUGUUCCAUUCUGGCUAGGACUAAUUGCUGGAGCCAUUCUAGCUAAGGCUAAAAUAAAUAAUUUAAAGGCAAUAAUCUGACACAUUUGGAGAUGUAUACAUAAAGAGAAGAUGCAAACUCCAGACAGAAAAGAUACAGAAUUUUUAUUCAUUCUAAUCAUUAAAACCAUUUUGAUACUGUGGUUUCAUUUGUGAACUGCAUGCUCCAUUUUCUGAGGAGGGGAAAUGUAUCAAACUCAUUAAUUUUAAUUAAAAAAGUGCAUAAAUGAGCAAACUUAUUUAUUUUCUUUGCUCCAAAGAAACAAAGACACGUCUGUCUUUGUUUUUUUAUAAAUUCUUUCGGAACUUGCUGAUUAGAAGAUAUAAAAAUACAGUUCCAAAAUAUGAAUUUAUUCACACACGACUGAAUGAAA
ensembl:lncRNA